CACGUAGGCGGACUAUUAAGUCAGGGUGAAAUCCCGGGGCUCAACCCCGGAACUGCCUUUGAUACUGGUAGUCUUGAGUUCGAGAGAGGUGAGUGGAAUUCCGAGUGUAGAGGUGAAAUUCGUAGAUAUUCGGAGGAACACCAGUGGCGAAGGCGGCUCACUGGCUCGAUACUGACGCUGAGGUGCGAAAGCGUGGGGAGCAAACA
rnacentral:rRNA from 1 species